AGAACGCCCCCCCAACUCCUUCAAGGAGUACGGAGCCGGCAUCAGGAUCAUAUUAUAGCCCAAGACGCCUAGCUACGCCACACCCUCAAGGGAAUUCAGCAGUGAUUAACAUUAAACAUAAGCGACAGCUUGAUUCAGUCAAAGAAAAGAGAGCCGGCAAAUUUGGUGCCAGCCGCCGCGGUUACACCACGUGGCUCAAGUUGAUUUUACUUGGCGUAAAGCGUGGUUUAAGAGAUACCCUCAUGGUGUCAAAAAAAAGUUAAGCCGUGACACGCUUACCUCAAAGAAGACCAAAAACGAAAGUUACACCAAUAGCGUUAACUUGAACCCACGACAGCUCGGAAACAAACUGGGAUUAGAUACCCCACUAUGCCCAACUGUAAACCUUAACUUACCCCCCCCCCUCGCCAGGGUACUACGAGCAAAGCUUAAAACCCAAAGGACUUGACGGUACCCCAAAUCCACCUAGAGGAGCCUGUCCUAUAAUUGAUAACCCCCGCUUAACCUCACCUCUUAUUGUCUUUCAGCCUGUAUACCUCCGUCGUCAGCUUACCACGUGAGCGUCACUAAGUGGGCCCAAUGGCCACGCGUCAACACGUCAGGUCAAGGUGCAGCUAAUUAAGAGGAAAGAGAUGGGCUACACUCUCUAUCUUAGAAAAAACAGAAGACUUUAUGAAACCUAGUCAGAAGGCGGAUUUAGUAGUAAAAAGAAAACAGAGUGUUCUUUUUAACCCGGCACUGGGGUGUGUACACACCGCCCGU
rnacentral:rRNA from 1 species